AAAAUAACAGCUGGCGAGUCGGCUGGCUGGCGAUGUUCUUUCCCCUCCGCUGAUUAAUGCCGUUUCCAUGGUACGAUUAUAGUGUUGUUAUGUUUUGGAAAACAAAUUGAAAAUGUGUGCAGUAGAAAAGACUGAUUCCGAGUACCAGAAGUUGAAUAUCGUGAUCGUGCAUUUAAACGAAAUUUUUGGGCUCUGCAUGGACUAACUCUAUUGCUGCUAAUCUGGUGUACAAGGGAAGAUUUCAGCUUGUUUAAGGCAUCAUGAGGCCAUUGUGCUGUACUCGGUAUUGAGAAUGUAUGAAUACUUUUUAUUGCAACGGUGAGAGACAAAAUGGAGCCCAAAAAUCGCUGAAAUGGAGUCUUAUUUUGAACGUUUUUCGAGAUUGCUGCAUAAAUAAUUAUCCAUAUAUUUCUCAAGUGUUUUGUGUAUUCCCGGAAAUACCUAUGAAUAUAUUUGCUCUUCUAUGAGUUUUUGAUUAUCGA